rnacentral:lncRNA from 1 species
NUUUUUUUUUUGAUGAAAUUUUCUCAUAUAUAUAAAUAAAGGAAAAAAAGUUACAAAGUAAACUUGGGCAUACCCAAGGUGGUACAAGUCGCCAAGUCUCAAGUGAGAACAAGGGACCAAGAAAACGUGAAUGCUAAUCCUAAGAAAGAUAGCAAAGUACAUACUUGACACACCCUUUGCAUUUGGGCGGUGCCAUUACAAGGUACAACAUAGUAUAUUAAUCCAAAAAACUAGUCCCACGUGUGCUGUAAAGGAAUAGGCCAGGAGGCCAAACGAUGAAGCGCGUGCACGAUGAGCUUGAUGAAG